CAGCAGCCACGGUAAUACAGAGGGUGCAAGCGUUAAUCGGAAUUACUGGGCGUAAAGCGCGCGUAGGUGGUUCGUUAAGUUGGAUGUGAAAUCCCCGGGCUCAACCUGGGAACUGCAUCCAAAACUGGCGAGCUAGAGUAGGGCAGAGGGUGGUGGAAUUUCCUGUGUAGCGGUGAAAUGCGUAGAUAUAGGAAGGAACACCAGUGGCGAAGGCGACCACCUGGGCUCAUACUGACACUGAGGUGCGAAAGCGUGGGGAGCAAACAGGAUUAGAUACCCCUGUAGUCCCUGUCUCUUAUAC
rnacentral:rRNA from 1 species